rnacentral:rRNA from 1 species
AUGGUCCUCCUCGACUGUCCACCAACACCAAGCGAACACCAAGUCUGGGAAGGCCGCAAGGGGGAGCACUGGAAAGACACGCCACCGCCGCCGCAAGGGUUAGCCUCUGCUUCCAUGUUUCAUGAGGGCGGCGCCAUUGUUUGGACUUGUGGUGCAGCUGCUGCGUCCUGUUCGAGAGAGAAAAGAGAGGGUGAUGAGAGAGAGGGUAGAAGGAGAGGGAGAACCGCAGAGGAGCUGGCUCACCGGCGAGGUCCUGCUGCUGCUUCAGAUCUCCGUGCGGGGGGUCGGGUUCGAGCUCCUGCGAGCACUCUCGCCGCUCGGGCGCCUGGUAUAUGGGAGACUGUUUUGUGCAAGGGAAACUGA